ensembl:lncRNA
GUGCAAUCUUCUUUAUUGAUCUAUUUGUUUAUAUCCCUAUUCCAUUCAUUUCUAUGAUUUAGUCAUCUGGUGGGCGUGGUUGAGUGCGCAGGUGCGUCAUUCAAACCGAGCGAGAUGACUGUUGAGAAUCAGCGCGAGACAGCUCCUUUCAGCUAAAUUGAGAUGUGUCGUUAUCUCUAGCAUCCCUGCUGGUGCCUCUACAAAUUACACCUGCAACAUGAGGGGUCGUCAUGUGAACAUCAUCAUUCCCAAUGUUAUCCAGGCUCUCACGCUCUGUGAAGUGGAAGUCUAUGGGGUUCCA